AAGUCGAUAGGAUGAAAAGGUCUCCCCGUCCCCUGACGGGCGGGGAGUGAAAAGGGAAGCCGGUGAGAUUCCGGCGCGGUCCCGCCACUGUGUUUGGGGAGCGAAGCCGCAGGGUGCCACUGUUCUUUACAGAACGGGAAGGCGCGGCCGAGUGAGGAUCCAUAAGCCAGGAGACCUGCCUUUUCAUCUGGGAAACU
rnacentral:ncRNA from 1 species